CGGGGUGCAGCAGGCGCGAAAACUUUACAAUGCUGGCAACAGCGAUAAGGGGACCUCGAGUGCCAGGAUACAAUCUUGGCUGUCGUAAUGCCUAAAAAGCAUUGCAUAGCAAGGGCCGGGCAAGACCGGUGCCAGCCGCCGCGGUAACACCGGCGGCUCGAGUGGUAACCGCUAUUAUUGGGUCUAAAGGGUCUGUAGCCGGCCGGAUAAGUCUCUUGGGAAAUCCAGCUGCUUAACAGUUGGGCUUUCAGGAGAUACUGUUCGGCUCGAGACCGGGAGAGGUGAGAGGUACUUCAGGGGUAGGGGUGAAAUCUUGUAAUCCUUGAAGGACCACCAGUGGCGAAGGCGUCUCACCAGAACGGAUCUGACGGCAAGGGACGAAAGCUAGGGGCACGAACCGGAUUAGAUACCCGGGUAGUCCUAGCCGUAAACGAUACUCGCUAGGUGUCAGCCACGGUGCGACCGUGGUUGGUGCCGUAGGGAAGCCGUGAAGCGAGCCACCUGGGAAGUACGGCCGCAAGGCUGAAACUUAAAGGAAUUGGCGGGGGAGCA
rnacentral:rRNA from 1 species